GAUGAAGAACGUAGCGAAAUGCGAUAAGUAGUGUGAAUUGCAGAAUUCAGUGAAUCGUCGAAUCUUUGAACGCACAUUGCGCCUUCUAGUAUUCUGGGAGGCAUGCCUGUUUGAGCGUCAUUAAACCUCUCUCAAGUAUGAUUACUUGGAUGUGAAGGAAGAGUACCUUAAACUUAAGGAGUGUUCUCCUUUGAAAUUGAUUAGCAGAUGGUAAUGUUAUUAAAUCCCUGAUGUUGUAAGAAAUAACAGUGGUUUUGUAGACUAUUAUCUAGCUUUAAAUUAUAAUUUUUAUUAUGGUUGACCUCAAAUCAGGUAAGGAUACCCGCUGAACUUAAGCAUAUCAAUAAGCGGAGGA
rnacentral:misc_RNA from 1 species